GCAUGGGUUUGGAUUUCUGACAGGCCUGUACCUCUGGGCCUGUCAUAGUGCCCCAUGCCAGAGCAAACUGACCCCAAACCAUUGCCAGGCCUCUACCCAAAGGCCACUGGCACUGAAGGGGUCAUACAGUA
ensembl:snoRNA